AGUCAGUGAACGCGCUGCCUUGCCUUCAUCUAGGGCUGUCAGUUCCUGCUGCCUGUUCCUGUUCUGGGCGCGUCCGCGGCUGGGACGGAUUGCGCGUUAAAACGGAAGCAACAUGUGUGGUGAACAAUGCUGGUAGAUUCCAUGUCACCCACAACUGGAUUUGGAUAAAGUGAAACCGCAGGAGCCAGCUGAAAGAGUGCAAAGCUGGGACACGCACAAUGUGGCGAGACACGCAUGAGCGGCCUGCUGUUGUCAGUCAAACGUGUCGCAUUCGCUUGGUUCGGCGAGAAGUUCCACUGAAGGCUGAUGGAACUAAGACCGCAGCGGUGUGGGUUCAAGAACAGGGCGUGCAUCGUCUAAUGGCACGGUCUGACUGCAAGAGUUAGACAAGCCUCCUACUCAGUUCCUGAGGCGACCACGCAACAAGGUUGAAAACUGUCCAGCUGGGUUCUGCUUGCAAAGAGGAGGACUAGUACAGCCCAGUCAUAGUGGUUCAAAUUGUCAUCGACAGUGCCAAGGACAACUUACCCCUCAUAAUGUGCUCACUGAUUCCACUGUGGAACCAGCCCGCUCCGGAAAAAGUCUUGGUCCAAACUUGGAUCGAAGUGCGGAGUUUUAAAUUCACUGCAAUUACUCCCCAGGUAACACCUCUCCCAAAGCGGACACAUCUCCCUUCAGGAAGGACAAGCGCAAAAGGAGCAUGGGAACAUCAUCAUCUUCUCUCUCUCUCUCUCACUCUCACUCUCACU